rnacentral:rRNA from 1 species
GACGAACGCUGGCGGCGUGCUUAACACAUGCAAGUCGAACGGAAAGGCCCUGCUUUUGUGGGGUGCUCGAGUGGCGAACGGGUGAGUAACACGUGAGUAACCUGCCCUUGACUUUGGGAUAACUUCAGGAAACUAGGGCUAAUACCGGAUAGGAGCUCCUGCUGCAUGGUGGGGGUUGGAAAGUUUCGGCGGUUGGGGAUGGACUCGCGGCUUAUCAGCUUGUUGGUGGGGUAGUGGCUUACCAAGGCCUUGACGGGUAGCCGGCCUGAGAGGGUGACCGGCCACAUUGGGACUGAGAUACGGCCCAGACUCCUACGGGAGGCAGCAGUGGGGAAUAUUGCACAAUGGGCGGAAGCCUGAUGCAGCAACGCCGCGUGCGGGAUGACGGCCUUCGGGUUGUAAACCGCUUUCGCCUGUGACGAAGCGUGAGUGACGGUAAUGGGUAAAGAAGCACCGGCUAACUACGUG